rnacentral:rRNA from 1 species
ACGCUGGCGGCAGGCCUAACACAUGCAAGUCGAGCGGUAGAGAGAAGCUUGCUUCUCUUGAGAGCGGCGGACGGGUGAGUAAUGCCUAGGAAUCCGCCUGGUAGUGGGGGAUAACGUUCGGAAACGGACGCUAAUACCGCAUACGUCCUACGGGAGAAAGCAGGGGACCUUCGGGCCUUGCGCUAUCAGAUGAGCCUAGGUCGGAUUAGCUAGUUGGUGGGGUAAUGGCUCACCAAGGCGACGAUCCGUAACUGGUCUGAGAGGAUGAUCAGUCACACUGGAACUGAGACACGGUCCAGACUCCUACGGGAGGCAGCAGUGGGGAAUAUUGGACAAUGGGCGAAAGCCUGAUCCAGCCAUGCCGCGUGUGUGAAGAAGGUCUUCGGAUUGUAAAGCACUUUAAGUUGGGAGGAAGGGUUGUAGAUUAAUACUCUGCAAUUUUGACGUUACCGACAGAAUAAGCACCGGCUAACUCUGUGCCAGCAGCCGCGGUAAUACAGAGGGUGCAAGCGUUAAUCGGAAUUACUGGGCGUAAAGCGCGCGUAGGUGGUUAGUUAAGUUGGAUGUGAAAUCCCCGGGCUCAACCUGGGAACUGCAUUCAAAACUGACUGACUAGAGUAUGGUAGAGGGUGGUGGAAUUUCCUGUGUAGCGGUGAAAUGCGUAGAUAUAGGAAGGAACACCAGUGGCGAAGGCGACCACCUGGACUGAUACUGACACUGAGGUGCGAAAGCGUGGGGAGCAAAC